UGGGUUGUAGCUCAGUGGUAGAGCGAUUGCCUUGCAUGCAUGAGGUCCUGGGUUAGAUCCUUAGCACCACAU
rnacentral:tRNA from 1 species